CAGCCCUUCGGGGAAAGUGAAGGAGUUCCAGGAAAGAGCUGAGAACAGCUAUGAGGAAGCAGAGGAUCUAAGUGUCGCGGUGACAAAAAUUUCAACCCCGGAUGUCUCCAAACGGACUGAAAGACCUGUCAAGAGAGAAAUGUCCCAAAAUCACAGAGAAAAGGUGUCCCUUUCCGUGUGAUGGGAGCCCAGUAGAGAACAGAUGACUAUGUGCUGAAAAGUGACAUGUUCAUGACUGCUCACAGAUGGGUGCUGCAAAGAUUGAAGAGGUUUCCAUUGGCAUGCUAAAGACAGACCUCACUACCCCACAUAGCCUGCAAGAGAUAGAAACAGGUAUGUAUUUUAAUGCAACUUGAUUCAAGCUAAAAGAGAAGAGAUUCACCAGGGACCCUCAGAAGAGUUGAACCCCCUGCCUGUUAGCCUGUUGUGGUGGAUCUCUAUAAAUGUGAAGAUGCUUGGAGGCCUCUGUUAUAUUAGUUACUCUAUCAGAAUACAUGAUACUUGAGUAUUUCAGGGCAAGAGAAAUGAACAAUUAAUUACAAGAGCCUAAGUCAUAGUUUUUGUUUGCUUGGU